rnacentral:rRNA from 1 species
GACGAACGCUGGCGGCGUGCUUAACACAUGCAAGUCGAACGGAAAGGCUCCAGCUUGCUGGAGUACUCGAGUGGCGAACGGGUGAGUAACACGUGGGUAAUCUGCCCUGCACUCUGGGAUAAGCCUGGGAAACUGGGUCUAAUACUGGAUAUGACCUUUCUCCUUAUGGGGUUUGGUGGAAAGUUUUUCGGUGUAGGAUGAGCCCGCGGCCUAUCAGCUUGUUGGUGGGGUGAUGGCCCACCAAGGCGACGACGGGUAGCCGGCCUGAGAGGGUGAUCGGCCACAUUGGGACUGAGAUACGGCCCAGACUCCUACGGGAGGCAGCAGUGGGGAAUAUUGCACAAUGGGCGGAAGCCUGAUGCAGCGACGCCGCGUGAGGGAUGACGGCCUUCGGGUUGUAAACCUCUUUCAGCAGGGACGAAGCGUAAGUGACGGUACCUGCAGAAGAAGCACCGGCUAACUAUGUG